CUCUCUCUCUCUCUGCCUUUCCGUCCAAUCCAUUUGAACCCACAAAUACAUAUACAUUGUUUUUAAAUAGUCGGUUUCCUUCUUAAAUCUUGCCUCUUGGAAUUCUAUUAGCCGUUGAGUCUGUGACCGGCCAAUGUCUUUCAGAGUCAGGGGGGGUACGUCUCUCUCUCUCUCUCUCUCUCUCUCUCUCUCUCUCUCUCUCUCUCUCUCUCUCUCUCUCUCUCUCUCUCUCCUAGACAUGUUGGGAGUUCAUGGAAUUGAGUUUGUUUAUGUAUCCGUUCAUCAAAGUUGAUUUAUUUGCUAUGCAGCAUUUCUACGUCCUUCAAUGAAGGGUUUUCCCCACGUAGUUUAAGCCAACGAAGGUUAAUAAGAAUUUCCACCAAAGACUUAAGAAUAAACAAAAACUCUGUUUUAUUGAUUUCUUUCUGUAUAUCAAGAAUUUCGUGCUUCUUCUGGUAAUCAAAAAAGUCUAAAAUUGCUCGGUUGUGUUCUAAAAUUGUGUUCCAAGCAUUGUUAUUUUUUCACGAUUGUAGUACGUGUUCCGUAUUUUGCCUUAAAAUUUUGGGAUUUUAGUAUGUUACCCUUUCCCCUAUCGUGCCUCUGAUAGUUAGUAACUUUACUUGCAUUACUCUAGAGAUAAAGUUUCUCGAAGGGCUUAUGUUGAGAGCUAGCUAGGCCACAUAAUUCUCCAAUAGUACUCUGCGCUCCCACUCUCGUUGCUCACUUUAUGAUGUUGUUCUCAAUCCUCCCUCUCACGAAUUGUACUAGUUUGGAUGUUUUCGAAAGACGCUUUUACAAUCUCACUCACGCUCAUGCAUGCAUUAUGGGACUUCGGUUGAGAGUAUACAAUUUCAAAGACAAGUUAGGAUCUUAUAAUGCCAAGUCCAUAUUUAAGGCAAAUUGAGAGCAAUGAGAAAACAAUGAGAUGGCCAAUCAAGCCCUUUUCCGGCACUUCACUCCUCUUUGUUCUUGAUUUGGAGAUUAUGUGUAAAAUUUCACUGCCGAAUGCUUCUUCGGGCAUGGGCGUUGCUGAUCAAAGCAAAAACACAUUUUUAGAGCUGCAGAGGAAAAAGGUCCAAGGUCCAUCGGUAUGUGAUUUCCAAGAUUGAUGAGAAGAAAAAGGAGGUGGUUGUAAAGAAGACUGGCGAUCCUGCUGAGAGCUAUGAUGAUUUCACCACCGCCUUGCCUGAGAAUGAUUGCUGAUAUGCUGUCUAUGACUUCGAUUUUGUGACUCCUGAAAAUUGCCAAAAGAGCAAGAUAUUCUUCAUCGCGUGGUAUGCUUUCAUCAUAGAUAUCCGAGUCUCCUGUUUUUUAUGACUGUCAUUCGUUCUUAGCACUAUUUAUUCAUUCUCAUAAGAUAGAGGGAUGUCAAUAAAAGAAGCAAUUAGAUUC